CCCAGACUUCAUGUAAGGGUUGGCAGUGGAGGUGAGGGUAUCUCUUGCUAGAGAUCCUUGCUUAGCUGAGGCCUUUCAAAGUAUAAAAGCGGGACCACCUUGCAGCAAAGUUGGAGACCUCACCUAUGAGUGGAUGCACUGUGUAGGAUGUCCCAACUGCCGGGAAAAGUUCUCCAAAUCCUUGCUGCAACCAGGGCUCCAGGAUCUGGAUGAUAGUAAAGUAUUAGGGCAAUUGUUACUCAGUGGUCUGGUGUGAAUGCAAGAUGCUGAAGAAAUGAAUUACAUGAUACUCCUCAGGCAAGAAGCAGCUUCUAUCUCAGAACCAACCAACGUGGAACUGAAACUUCCUCAGGAGAGGAAUGCAUCUCCCUGCUCACCUAAGCCAAGAAGAAAAGCUACCGACAUCUGCAUGGUUACAGAGAAAAAUGGAAAUGGCAGUGUUGAACUCACAGGGGUAUUGUGAAGAUCAUUCAUUCAUUUAUUUGAGUUAGAAAGUAUCACACAAAAAUUUUAAGGCAUAAAUAAAUGGGACAUGGCUGGGGUUUUCUGUUUGAUAGGCGUUCUUACACAGUCUAUAAAGUAUGGCAUCUCCAACUUUUAAGAACUGAAUGUAAAACUUGAACAGCUCUGUGAAAAUGGGCAUACUAUAUCUGAAGAACAAAAUGACAUUUACUGUCUUAAUUGAGUUAGCACACAAGUGGCAAAGCAAAUAGCAGUAUAAAAUUAUGAUAGUAGUUGUUCAGAUCUCUAGUCUUCUAUAAAAGCACAGGAUAUACACUGCUGUGGUUUUGGAGUGCCAGCAGACAUUUACAGGCAGACAGAAAGAGAAAGUUCUACUAAAUGUCAAUUUUAUUGUAGGGUAGAAGCAGUAACUCUAUGUAAUAAACAAUUAGAAUCCAAAUCUGUAAUUAAUAUGUUGCAGAUAGACAAAAAGUACCUGGCUGUUGUAUUCUUGUUAGGAUUUGUUUUUUAGUACCCAUAUUAAAUUCAAUCCAGUUUGCAGGGAAAAAUAAAGUGCUCACACAGAAACAUUAUGACUUAGGCUUUUUCUAUUGUUUUUCCUGGUUGUAACAUACAUGAAUAAUACCUAUGCUGUUUAUGCGGUUGAAUAAUACCUAUGCUGUUAAUACAGUAAGCAUAUAUUUAAGCUUAUAUACACAAAUGUUCUGGCUGAUGUGGCUCAGGGCCAGACUGGGUUUCAGUGUGCAUGUAAGGACUAAAAGCAUAUGUUAUUAGGCAUUCCUGAGACUUGCUGAAUUGUAUCCUCUCCUAUUACAGUGACUAUUACUGAGUCAAGGCUGUUUGGGGAACAUGCUGGGUAAUAAAUAAAAGUACCCAUUCAUUUAAUGUUGCAGUCAUGUAAUGGUUAAAUUACAGUGUGUAGUCGGGGUGCCUUUUUUUUUGUGGUAGUGCCACAUAUGAAGAAAACCCUCCUCUUUAAUACAGCUGGAAAAAAUACAUAGAUCCUACCUUACAAAAUACUAGUUCAUACAAAGUUUGUUUUUAAUGUAAAUAAGCCAAUUUUAUUUUUCUUUUCUGCUUCUCUUUAUAAAAGAGUUGUUUUGAGAUGGCAGUAUCUUGUUGUGACAAAAAUUGGAGUGUGCCCUUAAUGAGUCAUCAU